AUGAUGAACGUUCCUAAACCCGCCAGACUUUCUAUUUUUGUAAGAAGUAUGAAAAGCACCAACCCCACGAAGCAACACAGUACAAGAAGGACAAGGAUUCUCUGUAUGCCCAGGGAAGGUGGCAUUAUGACAGGAAGCAGAGUGGCUAUGGUGGGCAAACUAAGCCGAUUUUCCAGAAAAAGGCUAAAACUACAAAGAAGAUUGUGCUAAGGCUUGAGUGCGUUGAGCCCAACUGCAGAUCUAAGAGAAUGUUGGCGAUUAAAAGAUGCAAGCAUUUUGAACUGGGAGGAGAUAAGAAGAGAAAGGGCCAAGUGAUCCAGUUCUAAAUGUCAUCUUUUCUUUUAGGAAGACAAUAAAAUUUUGAGUUUAUGUU